rnacentral:rRNA from 1 species
GGAAGGAUCAUUAAAAAUAUUAUUACACACUUUUAGGCACAAACUCUAAAUCUUAACCCUCAAAUACACUUUAAAAAAACUUUCAACAACGGAUCUCUUGGUUCUCGCAUCGAUGAAGAACGCAGCGAAUUGCGAUACGUAAUAUGACUUGCAGACGUGAAUCAUUGAAUCUUUGAACGCACAUUGCGCCCCGGGGUAUUCCCCAGGGCAUGCGUGGGUGAGCGAUAUUUACUCUCAAACCUCCGGUUUGGUCCUGCUUCGGCAUAAUAUCAACGGCGCUAGAAUAAGUUUUAGCCCCAUUCUUUUUCCUCACCCUCGUAAGACUACCCGCUGAACUUAAGCAUAUCAAUAAGCGGAGGAAAAGAAACCAACAGGGAUUGCCUCAGUAACGGCGAGUGAAGCGGCAAAAGCUCAAAUUUGAAAUCCCCCGGGAAUUGUAAUUUGAAGAGAUUUGGGUCCGGCCGGCAGGGGUUAAGUCCACUGGAAAGUGGCGCCACAGAGGGUGACAGCCCCGUGAACCCCUUCAACGCCUUCAUCCCAGAUCUCCAAGAGUCGAGUUGUUUGGGAAUGCAGCUCUAAGUGGGUGGUAAAUUCCAUCUAAAGCUAAAUACCGGCGAGAGACCGAUAGCGAACAAGUACAGUGAUGGAAAGAUGAAAAGCACUUUGAAAAGAGAGUGAAAAAGUACGUGAAAUUGUUGAAAGGGAAGGGCUUGCAAGCAGACACUUAACUGGGCCAGCAUCGGGGCGGCGGGGAGCAAAACCACCGGGGAAUGUACCUUUCGAGGAUUAUAACCCCGGUCCUUA